rnacentral:rRNA from 1 species
UAAAAAUAUUAAAUAGAUUUAAUAAAUA